GCGCUCCUGCUCCUAGUUGAGGUCCCCAGAUCUUUAGGGACUGCUGGGUUUUCCUCCGGCUGGUGAAGGGGGCGGGGACAUCCAGCGCAAGGAAUUUCAUCCUGUUGUGGGCCAGCUAAUUCUCCGCCAGGGAGGCUGAGGUCUCUGCAGUCACCCUGCACCCUACGCGGGGUUAACCUGCGUGUGAGACAGAACUCGCAAGAAAACUCAGGGUCAGGCCCCUGCUGGGACAGAUGAGAAGGUUGAGAUGGUGGAUGGAGGGGAACACAGCCCACAGAAAGCAACACCAGAGACCCUUUAAUGAGCACUUACAAUGUACCAGGCAUUGGGCCACACACCUAACAUGUAUGAUGGCAUGUACUCCUUACAACAACCCUGUAAGGGACAUGGCUGCUUCCUGUGCUCGGCCGUGAGUGGCUUCUUACGCAAGAAGUUGUCUAGGCUUGGCCCGUGUCGGCCCAAGGGGUCAUCGGGGGGCAUGAACCUGAAGAGCACGUGGGAGACAUGAGGGGAUCUUCCAAGUGCAGGACUCAAAGGCCAUCAGCGCACCCCCGCCCUCCGCGGGCACUCACUUGUCGUUGACGAAGGAGUACAUGAGCAGCCGCUCCUCG